rnacentral:rRNA from 1 species
GGCUAACUACGUGCCAGCAGCCGCGGUAAUACGUAGGGGGCGAGCGUUGUCCGGAUUUACUGGGCGUAAAGGGUGAGUAGGCGGUUAUAUAUGUCAGGUGUAAAAGGCUAUGGCUUAACCAUGGUUAGCACUUGAAACUGUAUGACUUGAGUGCAGGAGAGGUAAGCGGAAUUCCUAGUGUAGCGGUGAAAUGCGUAGAUAUUAGGAGGAACACCAGUGGCGAAGGCGGCUUACUGGACUGUAACUGACGCUGAGUCACGAAAGCGUGGGUAGCAAACAGGAUUAGAUACCCUUGUAGUC